AAUCCAGCUGCUGCUUCCGCUUGGUUUUGUAGCGCCGGUUCUGGAACCAGAUCUUCACCUGGGUCUCGGUGAGGCGCAGUGCGGCGGCCAGGUGCGCGCGCUCCAGUGCGGACAGGUAGCGCUGGCGGCUGAACUUCUUCUCCAGCUCGAGCACCUGCAGGUGCGUGAAGGCGGCGCGCGAGCGCUUCUGCUUCUGAGUCAGAGCGCGCGCGUGGCUCGGCGGCUCGUCGGCGUCGGUCGUCGCUUCUGUCGGAGAGUUUGUCCUUUCCGCCAGACACGACUCGUCAGGUGAAGCUGGGAAAAGACAGAAUGUCUUCAAUGAAGAAGGACGUCAGCUGCCUGUUUGAGGACGCCAUGUCGACUGGCAGGAACCAGACAGCAGGAGCAAUGUGAUGAGACUCCAACAGACGUACGGCAUCAGGAUGGAUCAGGCAGGUCCGAGGAGCAGAAGAGUCUCGCCCACAGUGAGGAGCUGAGGAGAUUUAUUAUGAAACUGGAGAUGAGGACUUUCCUGCCGUCUCUGGGCAUCAGGCUUCGGGUGAACACCAGGGGAAAUGUGCAGAGCGGCUCCGUGGUCAGGCAGGGUGAAGGAUCACGGAGGAAGCUGGAGCCAAUCUCAGCUGACUUCGGAUGAGAGAUGGGGUACACCCUGGGUGGGUCACCAAUUAGAGUCGCCAGUUGACCACAUGCACAUGUAUUUGGAUUAUGGGAGGAAACCAGAGCACCCAGAGGAAACCCAUGAAGGCACAGGGAGAACAUGCAAACUCCACACAGAAAGGCCCCAAUCAUCUGGCAGGUUUGAACCCGGAACCUUCUUGCUGUGAGGCGACAAUGUUAACCACUGCACCACUGUGACAUCGUCAUCAUCAUCUCAUCUCAUCUCAUUAUCUGUAGCCGCUUUAUCCUGUUCUACAGGGUCGCAGGCAAGCU